rnacentral:rRNA from 1 species
AUUGAACGCUGGCGGCAUGCCUUACACAUGCAAGUCGAACGGCAGCACGGACUUCGGUCUGGUGGCGAGUGGCGAACGGGUGAGUAAAGUAUCGGAACAUACCUUGUAGUGGGGGAUAACUAUCCGAAAGGAUAGCUAAUACCGCAUACGCUCUGAGGAGGAAAGCGGGGGGAUCUUCGGACCUCGUGCUAUAAGAGUGGCCGAUAUCUGAUUAGCUAGUUGGUGAGGUAAAGGCUCACCAAGGCGACGAUCAGUAGCUGGUCUGAGAGGACGACCAGCCACACUGGAACUGAGACACGGUCCAGACUCCUACGGGAGGCAGCAGUGGGGAAUUUUGGACAAUGGGGGCAACCCUGAUCCAGCAAUGCCGCGUGAGUGAAGAAGGCCU